rnacentral:snRNA from 1 species
AUACUUACCUGGCAGGGGAAGACUACAUGAUCUCCCAUGAAGGUGGUUUUUCCAGGGUGAGGCUCAUCCAUUGCACUGCGGGUGUGCUGACCCCUGCCAUUUCCCCAAAUGCGGGAAACUCAACUGCAUAAUUUGCC